rnacentral:rRNA from 1 species
CCUACGGGGGGCAGCAGUGGGGAAUAUUGGACAAUGGGGGGAACCCUGAUCCAGCCAUGCCGCGUGUGUGAAGAAGGCCCUCGGGUUGUAAAGCACUUUCAGUGAGGAAGAACGCCUGGUGGUUAAUACCCAUCAGGAAAGACAUCACUCACAGAAGAAGCACCGGCUAACUCCGUGCCAGCAGCCGCGGUAAUACGGAGGGUGCGAGCGUUAAUCGGAAUUACUGGGGGUAAAGCGCGCGUAGGUGGCUUGAUAAGCCGGUUGUGAAAGCCCCGGGCUCAACCUGGGAACGGCAUCCGGAACCGUCAAGCUAGAGUGCAGGAGAGGAAGGUAGAAUUCCCGGUGUAGCGGUGAAAUGCGUAGAGAUCGGGAGGAAUACCAGUGGCGAAGGCGGCCUUCUGGACUGACACUGACACUGAGGUGCGAAAGCGUGGGUAGCAAACAGGAUUAGAUACCCGUGUAGUC